GCCCUAUACUCUGCAUGCGAAAACAAAGUGGCCCAGUAGGCCCUGCAUUUGGCGCAACUGAACCUUUUUGGAACCCUUGACUAAGUCAACCAGACGAAGCAACACCGCCAACUUGUCCUCUGGGAGCCAAAAAAACAUACUCUCAGUAUCAAUCUCGAUACCCAGAAAUGACAGAACCAACACUGGCCCGACUGUUUUCUGCUCCGAAACCAGAACCCCGAAGUCUAACACCACGUGUCGGAAGGCCUGGAGCAAAGAAAAGCAAUCCUGAGAACCCGCUGGGCCAACGAACAAAAAAAUUGUCCAAAUAAUGAGUCAAGGAUCCCAGACCUUGCGCCAUAAACC